rnacentral:rRNA from 1 species
UAGGGAAUCUUCCACAAUGGACGCAAGUCUGAUGGAGCAACGCCGCGUGAGUGAAGAAGGCUUUCGGGUCGUAAAACUCUGUUAUUGAAGAAGAACGUGCGUGACAGUAACUGGUCAUGCAGUGACGGUAUUCAAUCAGAAAGUCACGGCUAACUACGUGCCAGCAGCCGCGGUAAUACGUAGGUGGCAAGCGUUGUCCGGAUUUAUUGGGCGUAAAGCGAGUGCAGGCGGUCUUUUAAGUCUGAUGUGAAAGCCUUCGGCUUAACCGAAGAAGGGCAUCGGAAACUGGGAGACUUGAGUGCAGAAGAGGAGAGUGGAACUCCAUGUGUAGCGGUGAAAUGCGUAGAUAUAUGGAAGAACACCAGUGCNAAGGCGGCUCUCUGGUCUGUAACUGACGCUGAGGCUCGAAAGCGUGGGUAG